AUCCAGCUGACGAGUCCUAAAUUGGCCGAAACACGCAUCCUGGAU
rfam:Schistosoma haematobium scaffold339_22, whole genome shotgun sequence.